rnacentral:rRNA from 1 species
GACGAACGCUGGCGGCAGGCUUAACACAUGCAAGUCGAACGCCCCGCGAGGGGAGUGGCAGACGGGUGAGUAACACGUGGGAACCUUCCUCGUUGUACGGAACAACUCAGGGAAACUUGAGCUAAUACCGUAUACGUCCGAGAGGAGAAAGAUUUAUCGCAAUGAGACGGGCCCGCGUCGGAUUAGCUAGUUGGUGGGGUAACGGCCUACCAAGGCAACGAUCCGUAGCUGAUCUGAGAGGAUGAUCAGCCACACUGGGACUGAGACACGGCCCAGACUCCUACGGGAGGCAGCAGUGGGGAAUCUUGGACAAUGGGCGCAAGCCUGAUCCAGCCAUGCCGCGUGAGUGAAGAAGGCCUUCGGGUUGUAAAGCUCUUUUGUCAGGGACGAUAAUGACGGUACCUGAAGAAUAAGCCCCGGCAAACUUCGUGCCAGCAGCCGCAGUAA